UCCAGACUCCUACGGGAGGCAGCAGUGAGGAAUAUUGGUCAAUGGGCGGGAGCCUGAACCAGCCAAGUCGCGUGAGGGAAGACGGUCCUAUGGAUUGUAAACCUCUUUUGUCGGGGAGCAAAGAGGCCUCGUGAGGUCAAAAGCGAGAGUACCCGAAGAAAAAGCAUCGGCUAACUCCGUGCCAGCAGCCGCGGUAAUACGGAGGAUGCGAGCGUUAUCCGGAUUUAUUGGGUUUAAAGGGUGCGUAGGCGGGACGGUAAGUCAGCGGUAAAAAUGCGGAGCUCAACUCCGUCGAGCCGUUGAAACUGGCGUUCUUGAGUGAGCGAGAAGUAUGCGGAAUGCGUGGUGUAGCGGUGAAAUGCAUAGAUAUCACGCAGAACUCCGAUUGCGAAGGCAGCAUACCGGCGCUCAACUGACGCUCAUGCACGAAAGCGUGGGUAUCGAACAGGAUUAGAUACCCGCGUAC
rnacentral:rRNA from 1 species